rfam:Triticum aestivum genome assembly, contig: Triticum_aestivum_CS42_TGACv1_scaffold_000466_1AL
CCUAUGGUUUUUUUCAAAACCACGUCUCGGAAAAACAAACUAUGCCU